UACGGAGGGUGCAAGCGUUAUCCGGAUUCACUGGGUUUAAAGGGUGCGUAGGAGGGUAGGUAAGUCAGUGGUGAAAUCCCCGAGCUUAACUUGGGAACUGCCGUUGAUACUAUCUAUCUUGAAUAUCGUGGAGGUGAGCGGAAUAUGUCAUGUAGCGGUGAAAUGCUUAGAUAUGACAUAGAACACCAAUUGCGAAGGCAGCUUGCUACACGAAUAUUGACACUGAGGCACGAAAGCGUGGGGAUCAAACAGG
rnacentral:rRNA from 1 species